rnacentral:tRNA from 1 species
GGGCCGCUAGCUCAGUUGGCAGAGCAACGGACUUUUAAUCCGAUGGUCCGGGGUUCGAUUCCCCGGCGGCCCA